rnacentral:rRNA from 1 species
UAUAUAAAGAAAUCUUCGGANGGAAAUAUAUAUUUCUUAGCGGCGGACGGGUGAGUAACGCGUGAGGAACCUGCCUUGUACUAGGGGAUAGCCUCGGGAAACCGGGAUUAAUACCCUAUGAUACUUGAGGAUCGCAUGAUUUUCAAGUCAAAGCGAUUAAGCGGUAUAAGAUGGACUCGCGUCCCAUUAGCUAGUUGGUGAGGUAAUAGCUCACCAAGGCGACGAUGGGUAGCCGGCCUGAGAGGGUGAACGGCCACACUGGAACUGAGACACGGUCCAGACUCCUACGGGAGGCAGCAGUGGGGAAUAUUGCACAAUGGAGGGAACUCUGAUGCAGCGACGCCGCGUGAGCGAUGAAGGUUUUCGGAUCGUAAAGCUCUGUCCUAAGGGACGAUAAUGACGGUACCUUAGGAGGAAGCCCCGGCUAACUACGUGCCAGCAGCCGCGGUAAUACGUAGGGGGCGAGCGUUGUCCGGAUUUAUUGGGCGUAAAGGGUGCGUAGGCGGCCUUGUAAGUCAGAUGUGAAAUCUCACGGCUUAACCGUGGUAAGCAUUUGAAACUGUGAGGCUUGAGUACAGGAGAGGAGAGUGGAAUUCCUAGUGUAGCGGUGAAAUGCGUAGAUAUUAGGAGGAAUACCAGUGGCGAAGGCGACUCUCUGGACUGUAACUGACGCUGAGGCACGAAAGCGUGGGGAGCAAACAGGAUUAGAUACCCUGGUAGUCCACGCCGUAAACGAUGAGUGCUA